rnacentral:rRNA from 1 species
CCUACGGGAGGCAGCAGUGGGGAAUAUUGCGCAAUGGGCGAAAGCCUGAUGCAGCGACGCCGCGUGAGGGAUGAAGGUCUUCGGAUCGUAAACCUCUGUCAGCAGGGAAGAACGGUCACUGUGCUAAUCAGCAGUGAAUUGACGGUACCUGCAAAGGAAGCACCGGCUAACUCCGUGCCAGCAGCCGCGGUAAUACGGAGGGUGCGAGCGUUAAUCGGAAUUACUGGGCGGAAAGCGCUCGUCGGCGGUAUGUCAAGUCAAGGGUGAAAUCCCCGCGCUAAACGUGGGAACUGCCUUUGAAACGUGCAAAAUGGAGUGUGUGAGAGGAUAGUGGAAUUCCAGGUGUAGGAGGGAAAUCCGUAGAUAUCUGGAGGAACAUCAGUGGCGAAGGCGACUAUCUGGCACAUAACUGACGCUGAGGAGCGAAAGCGUGGGUAGCAAACAGGAUUAGAUACCCGGGUAGUC